rnacentral:rRNA from 1 species
UACGUAGGGAGCGAGCGUUAUCCGGAUUUAUUGGGUGUAAAGGGCGCGUAGACGGAUUUGCAAGUUGGAUGUGAAAUCCCCGGGCUUAACUCGGGAACUGCAACCAAAACUGUGAACCUUGAGUAUGGGAGAGGAAAGCGGAAUUCCUAGUGUAGCGGUGAAGUGCGUAGAUAUUAGGAGGAACACCAGUGGCGAAGGCGGCUUUCUGGACCAAAACUGUCGUUGAGGCGCGAAAGUGUGGGGAGCAAAC